ACUGUAAUUUUACGGAAUUUUACUGUUUUAUUUUACAGUUUUUUCCACGUAAUUUUGAAAUACAGUUUAAAAUUGUAAAAUUACAGAAAGAGACUGUAAAUUUACAUAUCUUAUGUAAAAUCACAUGAAAAACAUGUCAAUGUGCAUAACGUCCCAAAAAUAUUUUUGAAGAUUUAUUUCACAUAAUGCGCUAUAUUUAUAUGUAGUAUGUGCAGUAUGUGUGUGUGUGUGUACGUGUGUGUGUGGCAUUAAUAAUAUAAUGCCAUAUUUUUUAAUAGAUUAAAAAUAUAAAUAACAACUGUACAAAAGUUAACGUUCAUUAUUAUUAUUAUUAUUAUUAUUACUAUUGAUAUAAUAUGUUGUAUAUGUAGCCUACAUUGCGUGUUUGCAUAAAAGAGCAGGUUAAUCCUUUUUUGAACAGGUUUGUUGAAAAAUCCUUCUCGAAAGAAUCGUAUUUCCAAAGUACUGUCAACUGACCACAUCUUCUUCCGCUUGUCAAAAUAGUUCUGCUCAGUUUGGUGUUUUAUUACGGAUUUAUUCUCAUAGUACCGUUUCAUAAUUUGAUAUAAUAAUAUAAUAAUAUGCUGAUAUUAAAAUUAAAAAAAAUAAAAAAUGUAAUAUUCGAACUGAAGGAAUUCCCGCCCUAGCGCAAGGACACAUUCUCCUCCAAGCACGCAGUGGAGCUGCUGCGCGCGCAGAAGGAAUAACUCGACCUUCAGUUUCACGGUCAAUCUUCAAUCUGAGGCGAAAAUAAGCAGAUAAGUUCAGUGAGUGCUAAAACCAUGGUCAACAUGAAAGGUCAUAGUUAACGACCACAUCACCAUCUUCUGCAACGCUCUGAUGUUUGCUUCAUACAACUGCUUGAACAUUUCAUACCCAGGAAACCAAGGAGAAACGCAAGAGAUUGUGCAAAGAUUCCUUUUUAAGAUGAACCCCGAGAAGGGAUCGAAAGUGGAGAAGACCACAUCGAGAAAGAAAUCAGCAGUCAGUCCAAAGGUUCUUUCACUGAUUAACAAGAUUGCGGACUUUGAAAGGAUGGAGUAAAACUUGGAGUGUCAGAUCUUCCUACAUUGCCUAGCAGAAAUUCUUGACAGUGUCAAAGACUUAAAAUACUUGCUGAUUAUUUGCUUUCAUGGUUGAUUUUUUUUUUUUUUAAUGCAUCAUCUGUUGUCAAGAUGAAUUAAUCUGUUCACAGGUGGUUCAGUUUUAAGGACAAAUUAAUUCUUAUUUUUUAUUUGUUUACCAAUUUGCUAUAUUGUUGCAGUUUUGAACAAUUCUUUUGUGUGUUGUUGCAGUUAUUAAAUAUAUAUAUAUAUAU